AAAGAGAGAUUUAUUUAUCGAAUAGAAGUCUUCAAGAUCGAUAGGUUUGCUAAGUUUAAAACGUUCUUGAGUGAGAAGGUUUUCAACGUGUAAAACUAUCUUCUUGUUUUGUUCUUGAUUGUAAGUUACAAUUUAUUGUACAAAGGGUGGGUUUGGCUCUUUGUAGGGUUGAGUUUCAGUGAGGGUUGUAACAAAAGGUGGGUUUGGCCUUUUGAAGAGAUCGAUUGUAGUCAAUCGAGAGAGGUAGUAGAGAUAAAGGCUUUUUGAUUAUUGAGUUGUAAUCACAAAAUCAUAUAGUUGAAUUAAUAAAAUGAGGUUUUUCCUUCCUUAAGUGAGGAAGGUUUUUAAUUUAAUAAGUGUUUGUGUCUUUUUUUAAAAGCAACUUACAAGAACCUGGUUUUUGUUCAGGGGUAAGGUUUCUUCAAGAGUUUCGACCAAUCCCAAGCGGAGCCCGUCCAAAAAUUAGAGAGCUUGAGGUGAUAUUCUCCUUUCAUAAGAGGACCAUGAAGCAGAUUUCUAAGGGGAGGAGUAUCGGAAAUCCAACGAUGAUGCCAUAUAUUGAUGGAUAGGCCAGACUUAGGGGACCAACCAAUUCGCUUCCCUGAAGAAUAUAAUGUUCUUCCAAAUGAAAGGUUGGAAAUUGGCGUAGGCUCUGUCUUUGUAUUUUUGGGUAAGGGUUGUUGCCCACUGAGACUUGCUGGUAGUGAGAAUUCUCCGUGCAAGGCUUGUAAGAAGGAUUUUGUUCUUAGUUUCAUCGCUUUGCAGUCCUAGACAACCAUUUUCUUUUGCAGAUGUGAUAUUAUCCCACGCAACAUAAUGAAGCUUUCGUUUAUGGAUAGAGGACCACAAAAUAAAAUCUCUCUGUAUUUUAUCUAUAGUGAGUCAGAUCUUCUUUCGAAGUAAAAAUUAUUUCAUGGUAUAAGCCGAGAUGGCAUUGAGGGUAGUCUUAGCUAGUCUAACGCGACCAACUAUCGUCAUGAAUUGAGUUUUCCAGUUGGAGAGCUUUUUCUUCAUGUUAUCAAUAAUGUAUUGAAAAUCCUUGGGUGUAGGCUUUUGAGAAAGAAUAGGGAAGCCAAGGUUUCCCAAAUUGAGAAGGAGUUAUACUCAACAUGUUUUUGCAAGAUCUUGCGCAUUGUCUUUGCAGUGAAGAGAGUAAAUGGCCUUAGAUAUGACUAGAAAAAAGGCAUAAGUCAUUCAAGCAUCUAGAAAUAGUUUGUAAGGAUUUGGAGGUUCCUUUUGUAAUCAAAGUUACUUCAUCUGCAAAAAAUAAAUGAAAAAAAAAAGAGGUCCAUGAGUUGAGAGUUGGAUCGGAUCCCACCGGGGAAGAUCCACCUGGUAGUGGAUAUAGGCGGAAAGAAGUUUCAUACACAUUAUGAAGAUGUAUGGGAACAUAGGGCCCCUUGCCUUAUUCCCCUAGAGGGAGAGAAGUAAGGGGUUUGAUUACCGUUAACUAAGACAGCAAUGCUAGAAGUGGUCAUACAACUCAUAAUGAGUUUGCAGAUUUUUGGAGGAAACUUGAAGUAAAGUAAAGUACGGUGGAAGAAGGACCAUUCGAGUCGAUCAAAGGCCUUCUCAAGGUUAAUUUUUAACAUGACCAUACCCUUUUUGCUUUCAGUAUGUUGAAGCUUAUUUAGGAGCUCUUGGACUAAUAUUGCGUUAUCGCUUGCCCUCCAACCUUCAAGAAAACUAGUUUGACAAGGUCCAAAAUUUUUUUUUUUUAUAUAUAAAAAAUAU
rnacentral:lncRNA from 1 species